CACAGCCUUACAUUUUGGUAUUAUAGGACUCUCUAGGUGAGAUGAGAAUUUGACUACAGGAACGAAACAGCCAACAAUAAAGUAAUACAUGAUUUGACAUUUUCCUGAUGGAAUUUGAAGAAUGUCAAUUUAUACCAUCACUUCAUUGAAAGCAGCGGAAAUAAAACACCCUGCAAUGUUCUUCAACAUGUGUUACCUUCUCUUGCUGUUUCAAAACCUGCCAGACAACGCAAUUGAAACCAUAUUCUUUGUAUCUGAGUACACUGCCUCCAUGAUCCACAUCAUACAGUGUUCAACUUCAUCCUGACCCAUGGACAUUAAUUAAAACAAAUAAAGCUUGGACAGCAGUGAUAAAAGCCCCUCACAAUAACCUUAAAGGAGUUAUUCCAUGAAAAAUGUUGUACAUUGUGUAAAACACCACAUGGAUCUGAAUACAGUUACAGGGAAAGAGCUGCAGCAGAAAGAACAUGCCUCCUGAGAAAGGACACGCCCCCUGAGCUGCCAGCCUGGAGAGAAUCUAGCAGAGCAACUGGAGCAAUGAAAACUGAGAUCCUUAGUUCUAUGGGGGGUACAGGACUGCUUUUUAGCUUUGUUAGAAAGAGAUUGUCAUGUAUAGAGAUGAGCAAAUUUGUCUAAUAUUU